rnacentral:rRNA from 1 species
GACGGAGGGUGCAAGCGUUGUUCGGAAUUACUGGGCGUAAAGCGUACGUAGGCGGCGGGUUAAGUCGAAUGUUAAAGCCUGGGGCUCAACCCCAGAGAUGCACUCGAUACUGGCUUGCUAGAGGGUGAUAGAGGAAAGCGGAAUUCCCAGUGUAGCGGUGAAAUGCGUAGAUAUUGGGAGGAACAUCAGUAGCGAAGGCGGCUUUCUGGGUCACACCUGACGCUGAGGCGCGAAAGCGUGGGGAGCAAACAGG